rnacentral:rRNA from 1 species
GAUGAACGCUGGCGGCGUGCCUAAUACAUGCAAGUCGAGCGAACGGACGAGAAGCUUGCUUUUCUGAUGUUAGCGGCGGACGGGUGAGUAACACGUGGAUAACCUACCUAUAAGACUGGGAUAACUUCGGGAAACCGGAGCUAAUACCGGAUAAUAUUUUGAACCGCAUGGUUCAAAAGUGAAAGACGGUCCUGCUGUCACUUAUAGAUGGAUCCGCGCUGCAUUAGCUAGUUGGUAAGGUAACGGCUUACCAAGGCAACGAUGCAUAGCCGACCUGAGAGGGUGAUAGGCCACACUGGAACUGAGACACGGUCCAGACUCCUACGGGAGGCAGCAGUAGGGAAUCUUCCGCAAUGGGCGAAAGCCUGACGGAGCAACGCCGCGUGAGUGAUGAAGGUCUUCGGAUCGUAAAACUCUGUUAUUAGGGAAGAACAUAUGUGUAAGUAACUGUGCACAUCUUGACGGUACCUAAUCAGAAAGCCACGGCUAACUACGUG